rnacentral:rRNA from 1 species
UAGUCCACGCCGUAAACGAUGGUCACUAAUUGUUGGGGUUUUACCUCAGUGAUUAAGAGAAAUUGAUAAGUGACCCACCUGGGGAGUACGAUCGCAAGAUUGAAACUCAAAGGAAUUGACGGGGGCCCGCACAAGCGGUGGAGCAUGUGGCUUAAUUCGAUGAUACGCGAGGAACCUUACCAGGGCUUAAAUGUAAGUUGCAUUAGUUAGAGAUAGCUAUUUCUUCGGACUACUUACAAGGUGCUGCAUGGUUGUCGUCAGCUCGUGCCGUGAGGUGUCAGGUUAAGUCCUAUAACGAGCGCAACCCUUACCGUUAGUUGCCAGCAUUUAAAGAUGGGGACUCUAGCGGGACUGCCGGUGCAAACCGUGAGGAAGGUGGGGAUGACGUCAAAUCAUCACGGGCCCUUACGUCCCUGGGGCUACACACGUGCUACAAUGGGUCGGUACAGGAGGGGCAGCCACUACG